rnacentral:lncRNA from 1 species
ACUAUUAAAGGUGUGUGUAAUCUCCAGACCAAGAUGUUACUUCUCACGAUAUCUGAUAAGAAAUUGUCAAUUAUAUUAACUAUGUCUUGUGUUGAUAUUAUGCCAAUAAUCAGUAUAAUCCUAUUGUUUACCUUGGUGACAGCUCAACCAAAUACGCAUGACUUAGAUCUCACAUCAGUUGUGAGAAACUUGCAAAAUGAACUUCAACGCUUGAAAAUACAGGUUGAAAACUUGGAGGAAAGUCAUAAAACGUGUGUCUCAUC